AUGUUGCAUGAAGUGUAGCCCCACUAUCAAUUACCCAACUGGUCUCCUGGGUUGCAAGAUUGAUAGUGUCUUCAAUGAACAAUUGGAACUCAGCAAUGACAUUUGCUUCAUCAUCACUGCUUUCUUCUUUCUUUGCUUUGCCUUUGAUCUUCUCCUGAUCACUUUUGAACUUCCGGCAAUAUCUUUUAAUGUGCCCCUUCUU
rnacentral:lncRNA from 1 species